UCUGGAUGGUGCAAAUGGGUAGCACAUUCAGCUGCUAACUGAAAGGCUAGAGGUUCAAGACCACUCAGAG
rnacentral:tRNA from 1 species